UCUAGGCGAUGUCCCGAAGGUCCGUCUAAUGUUGAAUUUAUUGAGUUGUCCUCCUCCGACUCGGGGGGCGACGCACGUAAACCCUCUAACCGCGGGGGUGUGCGGGCGCUCUACCUCAGGAGACCAUCUUACCUUAGACAUAAGGCAUACUGUGUGGAUUGGAGGAGGAGGAACAAGGGAAACAGACUCCUUUUUUAUGAUCGAAGAGGAAGAAGAAAUUGAGAUGCUUUUGGAAAACUACCUCCAAAGAAAGAACGGGCUUUAACUGGAAUGACUUGUGAGAAUGGCUUACUUGGGGAAAUGGGAGCCUGAGUUUUCACAACUAACUUUGUGUUUCCUCUGAAGUUAUUCAAAAUGGUUCAUUUUUCAGGUACGUGGUCUUUAUUGAUUUGUGCUUGAAUGUGUUCAUGCAUCUAGGCAUUUUAUUGAAUGUGUUGAUGUAUCUAGGCAUUGAAAUGUCAAAUGGAAUAUAAUAAUGACUGGUUUAUAAAAUUUUAAUUGUGUUUCAGUAAGAGAUUUUCUUUUUUGUCUUGAUCUAUACAAAAAGAAAAAUGAUUAG